rnacentral:sRNA from 1 species
GCCGGGUGUGGUGGUGUACACCUGUAAUUCCAGUGACUUGGGAGGCUGAAGCAGGAGGAUCACAAGUUCAAGGCCAGCCUCAGCAACUU